GAUUGGUAAAGUAACUUUAAGAUGAUCCGAAAGGUCAGCUAACAUUUGGUUGUGGUUUUUUUUCCUCUGCACCGUGGGUGUUCCCGGGUUCAUUGUUUUAGUUUUUUGAAGAGCAGAAGGAAGGUUAAAGAAGAAAUAUUCAGUCUAAAAGAUUGAUGAUUGGAAUCGGUUAUAGAAGGAGGAUGGUUCGACAGGUGACCUAACUUUUGUUUGUGUUUUUUUUCCUCUGCACCGUGGGUGUUCCUCUGGGUUCGGGGUUCAUUGUUUUGGUUUUUUGAGGAGCAGAAGGAAGGUUAGAGAAGCAGUAUUCAGUCUAAAAGAUUGAUCGUCAGAAUCGAUAAUAGAACGGGCUUAAGUUUUCUUUUUUUUCCCUUUGCAUCGUUGUAGUGAAUUAGUAUUUCAGUAGUUCUAUGAAAAUAAAAAAGAAUUAGCCAGUCUGUUAUUCAGGGUUGUAUUUGUUGAGUAAGCAGUGUAGUUUUAUAUGCUUGAGAAAGUCUUUAUUGGAGAGUUAUUUAAAAUUUGAAUCAUUGUAAUUGUUUGCUGUGUAAGUGCUGGUUAUUGUGGAAACUAUUUUUUAGUGGGUUAUUUUAGAUUAAUUUUUAGAGUAAGCAUUAAUGUUUUUUUUUUUUUUUUUAUAUUAUCUGAUAAAUUUGAAUUUUCUUUAGUAGAAGUUUUAGUCUUUAUUGUGUUAUAAUGGGCAGUAGCAUAUUUAAGUGAUUUGUCUAGUUUAAUAUUAAUAGGAAGUUUUUAGUUAGCACUUUAGGAAGCAUUGAAAUUAGAGGAAUUUAUUUUACCAUGAACAAUGAAAAUAUAUUUGAGAUUGCUGAAACUGUGAACUUAGUUUGUAUCACGUUGCAUAUGCAUUUCAUAUAUUUUCCCAAGAUAUGUGAAUAAUUUAAUGUGGUGAAGUUAUAAUUCCAUUAUUUGUUAAGGUUUUAUUGUUUUGAUAAUUUCUUUCGUUGCAAGUAUAUUUGAGUGGGUGUAAACUAUUUUUUUUUGUUGCAGUUAUAUAAUGAAUUCACAUUUUGAAGUUAACGAUAGAGAGUCAACAAUGUUUUCGAGUCGAUGCUCUCCAAGUAGGGUUGUGUCUGUCAUUAGUCAUUUUAAUAGCGACCAGAGAAGUUAAGUUAAAGAAAUUGGUUUUGGCAACUUACUAAGUUUAAGAAAGUGUAGUUUGAGAAGAAAUUUAAUUACUUGGUUGGUUGAUAAUUUUGAUUUAGGUGAGGGUAUUUGGAAUUUGAGUGGAAGUAUAGUUCAGAUGAAUAGCGAUUUAUUUUCUAAUGUUAUCAGGAUUUUUGAUGGUGGGGAACACCUAAUAGAUUCGAAGUAUGAUUAUUGUAAGGGGGUAGGAUAUUAAUAAGUUCGUUGGAGCAGAAGUUGAAGUGUAAUGGCAACACUGAUAUGGAAUUCAUCCAUCAAUUUUUGUUGUUUGUUGUGAGUGUGUUUCUAAUGCCUAACACAACAAUUUAUGUUGCUCGAGAGUAUGAGGUUCCAAUAUUAGCUAUUAAUGAUGUAGCCAGUGUUAGAAGAAUUAAUUUGGCUUCAAUGUCAUUUAAGUUUCUUGUAAUGGGUUUGUUUGGAUUGAACAGGAAGAGAUCAAACUUUGUUCGUGGUAGCUUAUAUUUUUUACAGGCUAGUAAAUGACAACUUAUAAUAGUGUUGCUAUAAUGUAAUGUGAAUUUUUUUUUUCAGUUUAUAUUUGUUUAAUAAUACUGUGUUUCUAUAUUAAAUGAUAGGUUCUCUUUCUGGAUCAUGUGCGAUGCAAUGUCCUAUUCGUAGACAAAAGUCUAUAUCCAAUGUCUUGGUGGUCUGAGUAUGAAACUAAUAGGAUGCUUGAGUGGGUUGAUACAAAUGGGGGAUUAGGUUCUUGUGAGAGAGCAAUGUGAUCAUGAACUUAGUGAAGCUAAGGGACUAAAACGAAAGAGCAUUGGUGAGCCGAGUUCAAUGAAAGGCGGCUAUGGUGAUUCCUUGAGUGAAGAAAAUUUCAGAUUGGCGUGAUACUUGUUUGGUCCUGAGAUGAUUGUAAGUUACAGUAAUGGAGAAUAGGAGUUCUCUCAGAAAAUGAACGGGUACGGACUUGUUUUUCGACCCUUGUUACAUUUCAAUUUGCACUAUUUAUAGUCGUGGAGAUGAGAAGGGCAGACAGUGGCACAAUGUUUCUUGAUCAGGCUAAAUUUCUGUAUAGUUGGAUGGAGGCAGGUUUCUGUCUCACCAAAUAUGGUAAUCCGACAUGUCCUAUUCAUUUAAAGGUAAGAGGAAAGGAAAGCUAGACCAGCCAUGAGUUGGAGAGCUUAGGUGGGGAAGUGUACAUAUGCGGCCGCUUGACCACCACAACCAAGGUUUCUCAGAAGAACUAGGGUUAAACCAUAUUUUUGCCACUUAGGUCAGCAUGUUCUAGCUUUUGAGUUGUAAUGACCAUUCUGGAACUGUAAACAACUUUGUAAACGUUUAUUAUGGGAUCACAUGUACAGCUUAACAUUUUAAAUGAAAUAUCAAUUAU